CUGCAGCUUGGUAGUUUUUUACCAGUGUUAUCCAGUCCUCAGGUGAAGCUGCUCUGUGUUGAAGAUGGCUACAGACACCCAGAUGCAGAGCCCUGGGCCCAGGAGGCUGCAGGCACCGGAGGGGAGGUGAUCCGGGUGAGUCCCGGUGAGCAAGGGGUUCUGCCACCUUCUAACAGACAGUCCGAUGGUUC